GGUCCAAAUUAAAUUGAUCUAAUCCAAAUUCUAAUUCGAUUAAAACUUCACAAAAUAUCCUCUGCCACUUGUCCACUGUUGCACUAAUGAAAAGAACUACGACGGGAUAUAAUAAACAAGUUUCCCAUAGUAGAGGAAAAUAUCUACCGACACUCCUCUAUAUAUUCACACCCGAUAGAACUAAAAGGCAUAGAGAAAAACAGAAAAGUACGAGCAAAAAUAUGGAGAAGAAAAUGAUGACAGUGGCAGCUAUGGCUAUGGUGUUCAUGAUCCUGUUGUCGGCCAACACGGACAUCGUCGAUGCUCAAGGCGUCAAUUGCUAUGACAAUUGUAACACUGGUUGCGCUGGUCUCCCAUCGAAGGAAUACCUGCGUUGUGAUAAGAAGUGCCACAAAAGAUGCGGAGAUGGCAAAAUUGAUGGAAACCUGGGUUGAAGGUGCUCAAAAGUACUAGCAAGCUAUCGAAGCUAAAUAAUAAGUGUCUUUGAUAAUAAUUUCUUUAUAGUUUGAGAAAAUAAAUGUUACUUUUAUGUGUAUGCUUAAUUACAACUAUGAAUCUUUACUGUAAUAGAUGCAAUGUAUGAUGGUGAAACUACGUAUAUGAAAUUAUAAUUGCCAGUUCAUUACUAGUCAGCUCAAAGUCAAAUUUGCCAACGCUGUGUAUGAACUCAAAUCAUUCUUUCUCAUGUUAUAUUUAUCAACAGAGUAGAAAAAAGAAAAAGAAAAGGAGAAUUAGCAGUAUUUUUUAAGAAACUGAGUAGUGCAGAAAGAUAACACUAUAGACUCAUCUCGCACAUUCUACUAGUAGUGUGAGCAUUAACCCAACUAAGCACAUGAAAAUGAUCCACAAAAUAAUGUUUCAAGGUAAAUCAUUUUUUACAUGAAAAUAUUCUCUAGGGAACGUUUUAAUAGAAAUUUUCUUUUUGACCGUCCUUCUAAUUGAAAAAUGAGUGAAUUCGGAUACUUCUGUUCGACACCAUGAAGUAUGAGUGAAUUCAGAUAAGACGGUUUAAUGUGUAAGAUGAGAAAUGAAUAGAAAUAGCUAAUCGUAAAUUAGUUGGUAGCUAGGUCUGUGUUUGAUAUAUGAUAAGAAAAAUUAGGGGAAUUUUCUUGCGUUUGGUAGUUUAUUGCGUAGAAAUGUCUUAUUCGAGGAAAAUGUUUUUCACCAAAAUGAAAAAAAAAAAUGACAUUAUGCCUAUAUUUACAAUUCGAAAAUAUCACUGGAAUACUAUUAUUAUACCUUAUCCUUCAUGUCACCUACAUUGAUUUUCGACAUGGUUUGGUAAAGCUUUAUUACUAAAAUUGACUAUCAAAUAAUGGUUGUUGUUGACAAUUAACUAUAUAGUUCUUAGUUCAAUUUCUCUUUUUAUUUUUAUCCACCCCUUUUAGACGGGGUUUGUCGUUCGAAAUUGUCCAAUUUCAUAUACUUAUAAAAAUCAAAUUUCAUGAAGAUCAGAUCUAUAAAAGUUUAAAAAAAAAAAAAAAAAAAAAAAAAAGGUCUAUUAAAAGUCAAAGUGCUUUGAAAUGGUCAAAAGAAGAUGAACUUUGAAAUGGUCAAAUACAUCUCGAUAAGUUUGAGUUUGACUAUGUAUGGAAGUUAGACUAGAUCACUCGAAUUUGAAGCAAGUUUACAUCGGUUUUUUUGCAAGGAAAAUUCAAUAUAUCAGAAAAAUAAAUAUUAGCGAAAAAUAAUAAACUAGAAAAGGAAAGGGCGAAGAAACGAAAAAAGAAAAAAGAAAGAAACAAAAGCAAACUCACCUAUGCUCACUUAACUUUGCACUUGCCAAAUGUCAAUUGCCAUCAUAACGCAUGUAAGCUCGUGCAAAUAAGUUUAGUGGAGUUCUUAUUACAAUUUAAAAGUCUCAAGAGUUCAAAUCUAAUAACACUCUCGUCAUUGCUAACUCAAUUUAUUUUCUUAUUAACAAAGAAAAACAGUUGCGAUUAGAAAAUUAUGCAAAUACCGUUCACCAUCUUUUACCUUUUAAUUUCACGCUUCGGCACGAAUUGCGAAUUAUUUCAAGAUAAAUCCGAAUUUGAAAAUAAUUAAAAGUGCUAAAACCAAACAAAGAUGCUAAGUCUACUCAGCUUACAGUAUCAAACAUUGAAGAAGAAGAAAAACGACGGAAGAUCAAAUUAAAUAAAGGGAAAAGGGUCAUAUUUGGCUCUCCACUAUGGAAAAAAGGUUCAUAUUACUCUAAGUUAUCGGUUCAUAUAUGCAGUUAACCCACCACACCAACCCUUCUUUUUACGUUAAGGACGACAUACAUGGACCGAUAGUAUAACGUUAAGGGUGUAUAUGGAUCAAUAGUAUAACUGAAGGCAAUAUUAAGCUUUUUCAAAAGUAGUUGGGCAAAUCUUUUCCCUUAAAUAAAAUAAAGUUAGGACUUAAUUAACUUUGUACUCAAUUCUAGUCAAAGUUUAUUUAAAUGGUCCAAAGUAUAAUCCAAUAAUAUGAAGGAAAAUUAACAAUAUCUCUCAGUUCCCACUUGUCCACUAGGCACUAGUAAAAGUGACUACACAUGCAAAGGGAUAUAUAAAUAAGGUUCCCAUUAAAGGAAAAUCUCUACCGACGGUCUUGACAAUAGUAUAAAACCAAUUAAAAGCAUAGAGUAAGAGAGAGAGAAAAAAAAUGGAUAAGAAGAGAAUGAUAGGAGUGGCUGCUAUGGCUAUGGUGUUCAUCAUCCUUUUAUCGGCCAACAUAGACACUGUCAAUGCUCAAGGCGUUAAUUGCUAUGACUCUUGUGAAACUGCCUGCGUUGGUCUCCCUGACCGUCUGUACCGGCGUUGUGCGGGCAAGUGCCAGAUUAGGUGCGGACCAGAUGGCAAAAUUGAUGGAAACCUGGGUUGAAAGAGGCCAAAAGUAGCAAGCUUUCAAGGCUAUUAUUUUAAGCAGUUAGCCAGUUACACAAUACCUGUGUAAUCCACAAUAGAAUCUUCAUAGUUUGGGAAAAUAAACCUUUAUUGUUACUUGCAUGUUUAAUUAAUACGACUGUUUAUUUAUUGUAAUAGAAGCAUUGUAAUGACAUGAUGUGAAACAAUAAAUGGAAAUAAGUGUUACCGUGGAA